rnacentral:rRNA from 1 species
GGUCCAUUCAAAUUUUUGCCCUAUCAACUUUCGAUGGUAGGAUAGUGGCCUACCAUGGUUUCAACGGGUAACGGGGAAUUAGGGUUCUAUUCCGGAGAGGGAGCUGAGAAACGGCUACCACAUCCAAGGAAGGCAGCAGGCCUGCAAAUUACCCAAUCCCUGAACGGGAGGUAGUGACAAUAAAUACUGAUACAGGGCUCUUUUGGGUCUUGUAAUUGGAAUGAGUACAAUUUAAAUCCCUUAACGAGGAACAAUUGGAGGGCAAGUCUGGUGCCAGCAGCCGCGGUAAUUCCAGCUCCAAUAGCGUAUAUUAACGUUGUUCAGGUUAAAAAGCUCGUAGUUG